GCAGCCCUGAACUCCUGGCAUGAGCCACAGUGCUUGGCCAUAAAUGUAAUUUUAAUAGAAUGGAAUGCUCUUAUAUGGACCACCGAUUUGCAGGAUUAGCACUGACUCAUAAGACUCAAAGGAACUUUGGACUGCCAUCUAUUGAAUUUCAUCUAUAUUAAAAGAAAAUGAAACCUCCUGAGCUGUCCGGUAAUAGAAAGAAGCUGCAGAACCCUGUUGUCUUCAUCUUUUGUUUAACUCAUGCAACAUUUGAAAGCACGUUUGCCUACAAGAAAUAAAACUUAAGUUGUGAAAUGGCUUAUUAAUGAACUCAGAUGACAAGAAACCAAAACAGCGGGCCUGGCUGAAGGAUUCAUCCCUAGCCCUGAAAGCCAGCGGGGUCUUUCUGUAACAUCAAAGGCACAAACAAUUGAACCGACAUGGGGACUUAUUCUGUCCAGCAGCCCUGGUGGCCUCAGACCAUCCGAAGCAAGGGUAACCUACCAGAAAGCUGCUAGAUGUUCCCCACUACAGUGAAGGAUUAAACAAAGAAUGAAGAAGAAGUAGGACUCAAGAAGUAAAUGAUCCAACUCAAGAAAGAGGUAAAGGGAAUUCUCAGGAUAAAGGCUCAACCAGGCCUGGAAAACAAACUGUCCACAUUGGAACAAGAGAAAGGAGGGAAUCAAGGAAAAAAAAGGGAUCUGGGGUGGAGGUGGGGGUGUAAAAGU
rnacentral:lncRNA from 1 species